GUUUGAUCCUGGCUCAGAUUGAACGCUGGCGGCAUGCCUUACACAUGCAAGUCGAACGGUAACGGGCCUUCGGGUGCCGACGAGUGGCGAACGGGUGAGUAAUGUAUCGGAACGUACCUUUCAGUGGGGGAUAACGUAGCGAAAGUUACGCUAAUACCGCAUAUUCUGUGCGCAGGAAAGCAGGGGAUCGCAAGACCUUGCGCUGAUUGAGCGGCCGAUAUCAGAUUAGCUAGUUGGUGAGGUAAAGGCUCACCAAGGCGACGAUCUGUAGCGGGUCUGAGAGGAUGAUCAGCCACACUGGGACUGAGACACGGCCCAGACUCCUACGGGAGGCAGCAGUGGGGAAUUUUGGACAAUGGGCGCAAGCCUGAUCCAGCCAUUCCGCGUGCAGGACUAAGGCCUUCGGGUU
rnacentral:rRNA from 1 species